rnacentral:snRNA from 1 species
AUACCUUUCUCGGCCUUUUGGCUAAGAUCAAGUGUAGUAUCUGUUCUUAUUAGUUUAAUAUCUGAUAUUGUUCUUAUUAGUUUAAUAUCUGAUAUGAGGGUCAUCGACCCUCACGAUAUUAAUCUUAUUUCUUUCACGGGUGCGAGUCCAAUGGAGUAGCUAGGUGCCUCGGGCUCGCCAGUGCCGUCUUGGUAUUGCACUACCUCCUUGGCCGGCGCAGCCCAU